GCCUGAACACCGAAACAGAAUGUUGACUUGGCUACCAAAAUAAAUGGUAACACAGGAAUAACCAUGGCCUGAACGCCGCUCAUCCGCUGGGGAUUAUUAUUAUUAUUAUUUUUUUGCUUUUUCUUGAACCCCUGAACUUUCUGAUUGAUUUUUUCUUUUCUUGAACCCCGAACAAAUAUUUUCUUCGCGCAGAUGAUCCUGG
rnacentral:lncRNA from 1 species